rnacentral:lncRNA from 1 species
CUGCACAGGUUGUGCCAUGUUUGUCUUUCUUCCACAGGACAGAAGUGACUUUGUCUGUACAAAGUGCAAGCUGGUCUCCAUAUUGGAAGAGAAGGUUCGAGGGCUGGAGAAACGAGUAUCGACUCUGCAUUGCAUAAGGGAAAAUGAAGAUUUCCUGGACAGACGUCAGGAGAUGCUUCUACGGCCACAAUGUUCUGAAGAUUCAGAGCAGGCACAGCAGGGACAGAAGGAUUGUGAGGAGGUUUGGCAGCAUGUGACCUCCAGAAGGAGAAAGAGGAGCGUCCAUGCACCAGCAAUGGAGAUACAGGUGAGCAAUCGUUUCCAUGUUCUCUCUACAGGUACUAAUGCAGAGAGUGGACUAGAUGACCCAUCUGAGGGAAGGGAGCAGAAGGAGUCUCCACCGAUUGGAAGGCAAAAGAUGCACUGUCCUAGGGAUGGGGGUUCCACGACCACCACUCCCAAGAGGAGGACGAGGGUGGUGGUGGACGGGGACUCCCUCCUCAGGGGGACUGAGUCAUCUAUCUGCCGCCCUGACCGGGAAAACCGAGAGGUCUGCUGCUUGCCAGGAGCUAGGAUACACGAUGUGACGGAGAGACUGCCAAGACUCAUCAAGCCCUCGGAUCGCUACCCCUUUCUGCUUCUCCACGUGGGCACCUAUGAUACUGCCAAGAAUGACCUUGAGCGGAUCACUGCAGACUACGUGGUUCUGGGAAGAAGGAUAAAGGAGUUUGAGGCGCAAGUGGUGUUCUCGUCCAUCCUCCCUGUGCAAGGAAAAGGCCGGGGUAGAGACUGUCGAAUCGUGGAAGUCAACGAAUGGCUACGCAGGUAGUGUCGGAGAGAAGGCUUUGGAUUCUUCGACCAUGGGAUGGUGUUCCAAGAAGGAGGAGUGCUAGGCAGAGACGGGCUCCACCUAACGAAGAGAGGGAAGAGCAUCUUCGCCAGCAGGCUGGCUAACCUAGUGAGGAGGGCUUUAAACUAGGUUCACCGGGGGAAGGAGACCAAAGCCCUGAGGUAAGUGGAGAAA